CGUUCAUUGUAAUCAACUGAUGUUGUUUUUGAAACAAUACAUUGAUCUAAUUGAUGGGACAACUAGUGGGGCAAAUCUUAAAGAUCUGUUGUCUUUUUGGACUGGGUGUGAUUUACUGCCUGCAAAUGGUGCAAUCCUGCAUCUCAAAGUUGACAGAACAAAAGAUCGUAAUCUGCUGCCAGAAAGUAGAACUUGUUUUCAUUUGUUAGUUCUUCCAUGUUAUGAAAACUUCGAUGAACUGAAAGCUAAACUAGAUAGAGAUUUGCAAUUUCGUUCUAGAGGAUUUACAAAUAUUUGAUCUUGGAACAGUUUAUACAUCUCUUUCAGCAAUAACAUAGCUUGUUACAGCUAAUAUGGAUGAUGCACAAAAUUGAAAUAUUUUUAUUCUUUGUUUUGGAUAUCAUUUUUAUAGUUAAAGACUUAAAGUGAAAAUGUUAAUGUUUCAUUAAAUUUUGUUCUGUCAGUGCAUUAGCAUUUAUGUGCAAAAAACCA